rnacentral:rRNA from 1 species
GGGGGGGGGGGGGGGGGGGGGGGGGGGGGGGGGGGGGGGGGGGGGGGGGGGGGGGGGGGGGGGGGGUCGGGGGGCGGGGGGGGGAGUGGCGCGUGGGUGGCCUGCCCGUGGCGUGGGGCUACCGUCAGGACACUGGGGCUGCUACCGGCUAGGCGCUCCUGCUGCCUGGUGGGGGGUGGGCAGGUUCGGCGGUUGGGGACGGACUCGCGGCUUAUCAGCUUGUUGGUGGGGUAGUGGCUUACCAAGGCUUUGACGGGUAGCCGGCCUGAGAGGGUGACCGGCCACAUUGGGACUGAGAGACGGCCCAGACUCCUACGGGAGGCAGCAGUGGGGAAUAUUGCACAAUGGGCGGAAGCCUGAUGCAGCAACGCCGCGUGCGGGAUGACGGCCUUCGGGUUGUAAACCGCUUUCGCCUGUGACGAAGCGUGAGUGACGGUAAUGGGUAAAGAAGCACCGGCUAACUACGUG